rnacentral:misc_RNA from 1 species
GAACUGCGAUAAGUAAUGUGAAUUGCAGAAUUCAGUGAAUCAUCGAGUCUUUGAACGCACAUUGCGCCCCCUGGCAUUCCGGGGGGCAUGCCUGUCCGAGCGUCAUUGCUGCCAUUCAAGCCCGGCUUGUGUGUUGGGUCGUCGUCCCCCCCGGGGGACGGACCCGAAAGGCAGCGGCGGCACCGUGUCCGGUCCUCGAGCGUAUGGGGCUUUGUCACCCGCUCGAUUAGGACCGGCCGGGCGCCCGCCGGCGUCAAACCCCAAUCUUUCUAAGGUUGACCUCGGAUCAGGUAGGGAUACCCGCUGAACUUAAGC